GCCCGUCACUCUCGGGGUCGGUGCAGCGCGCGGUCUUCAGCUGGUGCCUCCGCCGGGCUAGACCAUCUGCCACUUUACACUGAGGGUCUCAGCGGGUCCGGAAGACAGAAUCGUACCUGAUUGGGACAGGUGACCUUACCAGGGAAACGGACAAUCUUUCAUCAAACGAACUUUACCCCGGAGAACCCAAGCAGGGCACCUCAGGAGGCUUCGUCCCGGCCAGGGACGACCAGCUCCGCCCCCGUCCCCGCCUCGAGCGGAGGUGGUCGGCCGAUUGGGAUUGUGGGAGAUGUAGUUCGCUAGAAGGGGCGAUGUGCGCCUGCGCCUCUCCGGAGGGACUUAGGGAGCGUCGAAAAUGAUGCAAAGACCGAGUUGGCUGCGUGGGUAGCUGCGGCUCAGAGGACGAAGAAAGAGUUGCAACAGUAUCACCCCUCUUCACGGGAACAGCUUCUUGCAAAAUAAUUUGUCCAGCAUCUACAUCUUCCUGGAAAAAUCUGAAGUCAAACAGGAGUUGGAUUCUGGGAUGGAUGUUUUCUUUGCCAAACACAGAAAUGAGGUAAAAGGAAGUUCUCAUCCACGAAGGUCCCGGAAGCAGCAAGUACCCUUCUUGCACAGCCACAGGCAUGCUGGGGUGCUCUGAACAGACACUCAUGGUGACAGGAAGGUGGGGAGUUCAAGCUGAUAUCAGCUUGUUGCUGGCACAUACUAUUAAAAAGAAGCAAGAGGUUAUUACAUAGUGUCUAUGUGCUUGACUUCUAACCACAAAGUGACCCGUCCACCAGACAGAUGCUAGAUUAGUUCUGUGUGGCUCAUGUCACCAAAGGCAUUGUCUAUUUUAUAUCACACCACAAGUGCUCUAACUACAUUCACCUAAGAAUACAUAAAGUCUUUGGAGGGAAAAUGCAUUUAUUGUCCAACUGUGUGACCAACUGUGUGCACACAUACACAAACAGGAUGCAGUCAAGGCUUUUGGGGAGAAGGCAGUAACAUAGAUAGUAUGUGUUUUCUGGCAAUAACCUCCUCCUUGCCAACAUCUGGCAAUGGUCUGUUUCCUGAGAGAGGAUGGACUCUUCAUUUUGGGACGUAUGGAAUCAUUCUCUUUUGCUUCUAAACAAGUAAAGGAAGGUCUUCCGAAUAUUUAUUCAGAAGAUGAAAUAUUAUCUUUGGAGUAAUGUGAAACAAAACUAAGCUACAUUAGAAAAAGUGACUAAUUACAGCAAGCCAAAGUAAAUGGAUAGAGAGCAGGUUAAUAAAUCAUCAUUGGGUCAUUCUUUAGAGUAAAACAAAGGAAAUUAAACUGUGACCUGUGUUGAAGUAUUAAUAAAAUAUCACAGUCAAACAGGAGUUGGAUUUCUGGGAAGGGUGUUCACUACUGGGAUUGUCUGGCAAGUUAACUGUUCUGGAGACCAUUUUCAAUUGAUUUCUCAAUGUGAUGUCAAAUAAUUUUUGCUUACCAUUCCACUUUCGGACAAAGGGGCCAGAAAGAAUUCUCAUGAAUCCUGCAAGACAGACUAUGUCUAUGGAGAACUCUUCAAGGACUAGGUCAAUUGCAUUGUCAAAUUCUACACGAUUUUUAUACAGUUUAUGAUUAAUUACCUGUAAUAGAAAAAGAUAAGCACAACCUUUUUCAAUGAAUUACCAAAAAUAAUUAAAAACUCAACCUUUACACAGCCCAUACUUCACUUCUUUGUAAAGAUAUACCUGAUAGAUUAUUAAGAAAGGGACAGGAUGAAGGAGAAGGCAAGGCCUGCACCCACCGACAAUGGCAGAAGUCCACAGAAUAAGUGCCCCACAGACCAGAGUCCAGUGAGGGCAGAUUAUGAGCUUAAAUAUGGCCCACAGGAAAGAUAUUUUCCCAAGUCACUUACUCUAGUGGGAAUACCAGCUCUUUCCGCUUUAUCUAACCCAGCUACUGCGGCUUUGUUGGAGAUAACAACAUCAAUUUGUGCAGAGCUAUUUGGUUCCCGAGUACUGUCUAUGAGUGCUUGCAGGUUCGAUCCUGAGAAGGGAGAAAAACAACAGUGAGUUCAUACUUUUUUUGAGACGGAGUCUCACUCUGUCGCAGGCUGGGAGUGCAGUGGCACGAUCUUGGUUCACUGCAACCUCUACCU